AAGGAUCAUUACCGAGUUAGGGUAGUCACUCACUGCCCGACCUCCCAACCCUGUGUCUACCACACUUUGUCGUUGCUUCGGCGGACCGGUUGACCAACUGGUCAUGACCGCCGGGGGUGGCUCUGUCCCCCCUGGAGAGCGUCCGCCGAUGGCCCAACCACAAAACUCUUGUACCGAAACGUGUCGUCUGAAUUAUGUUUGAGAAAUCAAAAACAAAACUUUCAACAACGGAUCUCUUGGUUCUG
rnacentral:misc_RNA from 1 species